AUACGAAGGGUGCAAGCGUUAAUCGGAAUUACUGGGCGUAAAGCGCGCGUAGGUGGUUUUGUAAGUUGGAGGUGAAAGCCCCGGGCUCAACCUGGGAAUUGCCUCCAAAACUGCAUGACUAGAGUACGGUAGAGGGUAGUGGAAUUUCCUGUGUAGCGGUGAAAUGCGUAGAUAUAGGAAGGAACACCAGUGGCGAAGGCGACUACCUGGACUGAUACUGACACUGAGGUGCGAAAGCGGGGGGAGCAAACAGGAUAAGAUACCCUGGUAGCCCACGCCGUAAACGAUGUCAACUAGCCGUUGGGAUCCUUGAGAUCUUAGUGGCGCAGCUAACGCAUUAAGUUGACCGCCUGGGGAGUACGGCCGCAAGGUUAAAACUCAAAGGAAUUGACGGGG
rnacentral:rRNA from 1 species